GCACGGGUGAGUAACGCGUAGGCAACCUACCCCUAGAUUGGGAAUAACCUCGGGAAACCGAAGCUAAUACCGAAUAACAUCUUAGAGUCGCAUGACUCAGAGAUCAAAACUCCGGUGUCUAGGGAUGGGCCUGCGUAGGAUUAGGUAGUUGGUGAGGUAACAGCUCACCAAGCCGACGAUCCUUAGCUGGUCUGAGAGGAUGAUCAGCCACACUGGCACUGAGACACGGGCCAGACUCC
rnacentral:rRNA from 1 species